rnacentral:rRNA from 1 species
GAUGAACGCUGGCGGCGUGCCUAAUACAUGCAAGUCGAGCGAACAGACGAGGAGCUUGCUCCUCUGACGUUAGCGGCGGACGGGUGAGUAACACGUGGAUAACCUACCUAUAAGACUGGGAUAACUUCGGGAAACCGGAGCUAAUACCGGAUAAUAUAUUGAACCGCAUGGUUCAAUAGUGAAAGACGGUUUUGCUGUCACUUAUAGAUGGAUCCGCGCCGCACUAGCUAGUUGGUAAGGUAACGGCUUACCAAGGCAACGAUGCGUAGCUGACCUGAGAGGGUGAUCGGCCACACUGGAACUGAGACACGGUCCAGACUCCUACGGGAGGCAGCAGUAGGGAAUCUUCCGCAAAGGGCGAAAGCCUGACGGAGCAACGCCGCGUGAGUGAUGAAGGUCUUCGGAUCGUAAAACUCUGUUAUUAGGGAAGAACAAAUGUGUAAGUAACUAUGCACGUCUUGACGGUACCUAAUCAGAAAGCCACGGCUAACUACGUG